GCUUUCCUACGGGGCGGCAGCAGUAGGGAAUAUUGCUCAAUGGGGGAAACCCUGAAGCAGCAACGCCGCGUGGAGGAUGAAGGUUUUCGGAUUGUAAACUCCUUUUGUUAGAGAAGAUAAUGACGGUAUCUAACGAAUAAGCACCGGCUAACUCCGUGCCAGCAGCCGCGGUAAUACGGAGGGUGCAAGCGUUACUCGGAAUCACUUGGCGUAAAGAGCGCGUAGGCGGGAUAGCAAGUCAGAUGUGAAAUCCUCUGGCUUA
rnacentral:rRNA from 1 species